rnacentral:lncRNA from 1 species
CAAUGGCAGUAUGUCAUGAGUAGGACGGCAGAGAUUCUUCGAGCUCAUCUGAUACAUGGAGCGCCCGCUGGAUGACAGGAAUUAUACGUGGUGAAGAAACUGAGGCUCAGAACACUUAAGUUGUUGAUCUUGGGUCCCAAAGGCAUCUAAGAACAUGGAGAAAUCUGGGAGACUUUUAAGACCUGCCUUUUCUUAACGCAAGCCUGAGGGAAAUUGUCAUGCUCACAGUGUUUUGCCCCUGCAGCGGACUUUCUCAGACCAGACUUGUGGAAAACUACUACAGAGCACACUCUUCAGGAACUGUGGAAAAAGCCUAACCUAGUCCAGAGCCGAGGCAAAGUAAUUAUACACAAGCUAAAUUCAAAACCAGCGAUGUUUUGAGGUUUUUGGUCCCCCAUCCCCAACCCCCGAGCUCUCUCAACUCUGAAAAACCAAAAAACCCAUUUUCUAAUAAUAGGCUUUCUUCUAUGAUUUCUGGAUUCAAGGUAGGUAAGAAAUAGGAGAGAGAUAAAUGAUUCAGAGGCCCCGAACAAGAUCAUUUGGCCUGUGGUUUUGGGAGGAUUUAACAGCUGUGAGUGAGACCUCAGAUCCAAGCCAACCCUGAAUCCUGCAUGCAGUUUGGCAAGACCACAAGUGCAAUUUAUCUGAAAACAUGAAAGAAUCUUCCUCUUCCUACUGCCAACUGGGACCCCAGCAAUGGAAAUGUUGAGAACUGGUUUGAUCUUACUGCUCUUCCAAUCGUGCUUCCUCAGCCAUCAAAAAAGCAAAUAAAAAGCCCAUGCCUUCAUUUUCUCUCUGAGGCUCUGUGCUCACAGACAAAACAAAACAACCGAACAAAAUAGAAAAACAAAUAAAAAACCCUCAACUUUCUUGAGAUGUAGAAGUUCUGAUUUCAAAUACUAAAAUUUGGGGUAAAAAAAAUAUCCAAAAUAGGGGAUAGGCUGUUAUAAGGUAAAAUAUGACAUCUAUAAGGCAGAAUAUUGAGUUACUACUAAACUGAUCUUCAAAAAAUGCUUCUAGUAUAAUGUUAAGUUAAAACAAAAAGCAGGAACUUGAGUGAUCCCAUCACAUAAAGAAAAUACAUGGGAGAAAAAUGACUAGAAGGAAAUGUCCCAGAGCAUUUGUCUUUGGGUGGGAGGAGUCUUGGUGAUCACUUUUAUUUAUCAUCAAUUUGAUUACCUCCCCUGCCUGGCCCUCCUCCCAGCAAAACAUCCCAGGAGGAAAUCUGCACCAUAAUAGAAUCACUCCAACUCUUAGCAAUACAUCAGUAACAAUUCCUUGCUCCGGAAGUUAUUCAGGUAAGAAGAAACUUCCCAUUGAGGCAACUCUUACCUUUCACACAGAAAGACCUUGCACUCCAGCCUGGGCAACAGAGUGAGACCCUAUCUCACAAAAAAAAAACAACAAAAAACAAAAAAAACCCUCUAUCUGAUACAAAUUAGCAUAGUUAUGUUAUCAUAGUAGUACUUCCCAAAAUACAUUUCACAGAAUAUGAAUCCUAAGAGAUGCUCCCUUCAAAAGGGUGUACAUUUGGGAAUUUGGAAAUGGCCUGGACUGCCUGUGGUUCCCACUUUUGAAGGUUCACCGUGCAUCUUGGUGAUUGAAGGUGUUGAGAAAUCCUGCAUGCAAGCUUAUUCACUUUGUGGAGCCCAACUUGCCACAGUUCUUUGUUCACAUGCUCCUGUAUUUCCUGUAAUACCAAUUGUCUUUUCAUGGGACUAGAAUUCAGGAGAAUAACAGUAAGAAAUAAAUUAUGUUAGAGUAGAGAAAUGAUCACAAUCCUUCUCCCUUCCCAGUGAAACCGUCUUUGCAAAAUUAUGACGGGGACAGUGAGAGAGGUCUAGCCUAACCGACUCCAUCUUCGUUCUCACCUUCAAGCUUUCCUUGUUCUUUCCCGGACAUAGGCUGAACCAACUUUGGGAGGAAUUUAGUUUAUAGUUUAUAACAAAGACGAUAACAGCCCUUUCCCAAAACAAACCUCUUUCUUGCCUGGAGACUAGACUGCCUUUGUAGGACUAACAAAUUAUCCACAAGAUUAGAAAUAAUGGUUUAGAAGUCAUGCAGCUGGAGGCUACAAGAUUCUGACUCUCCCUAAACUGCUCCUAAGAUCAGUGCUUAGGAUACUUUGCAGACCCUGCACUUGAUGGAGUAGCUGGCACCACCCACAUGGAUAAACUGGCUCAUCUGAUCUUGUGGCUUCCACCCAGGAACUGACUCAGCACAAUAGGACAGCUUCAACUUCCCACGAGUUCAUCUCCUACCCAACCAAUCAGCACUCCCGACUCACUGGCCUUCCCCCACCCUCCAAAUUAUCCUUAAAAACACUGAUCCCCGAAUGCUCAGGGAGACUGAUUUGAGUAAUAAUAAAACUCCAGUCUCCUGCAUAGCCUGCUUUGUGUCAAUGACUCUUUCUCUAUUGCAGUUCCCCUGUCCUGAUAAAUGGGCUCUGUCUCGGCUGUGGGCAAGGUGAACCCAUUGGGCGGUUACACCAGUAUCUGUGCUUUUUGUAGUGUGGCGUUACAGAUCCCCGUCAUGGAGAACUGGAGUCUAUUUCCUUGUCCUUGAAUCUAGGCCAGCCUCGUGAUUUGCUUUGGUGAAUAGAAAGGAUCAAAAGUGACAGAGGGCAGCGCUGAGCCUAGGCUUCAAGAGGCCAUAGGCACACUUGCAUUUUCUCUUGGAAUUCUACCCCCACCAUGAAAGCAAGCUGGAGCCACCCUACUGGAGCAGGGAAAGACCAUACCUGUGAGCAAGACAUUUCAGCUGAAGAUCACUCCCCUGAUCAGCCAGCCCCCAGCCAAUACCAGAGCUGACUGCAAACAAAUCAGUGAGUCCAGCCAAGACCAGAAAAACAACCCAGCUGAACUCAGCUCAUGCUAACUCAAAGAAUCGUGAUCUAAAUAAAUGGUGUUUGUCAGCCACUAAGUUUGGGGGUAGUUU